AACGAACGCUGGCGGCAUGCCUAACACAUGCAAGUCGAACGAGAUCUUCGGGUCUAGUGGCGCACGGGUGCGUAACGCGUGGGAAUCUGCCCUUUGGUUCGGAAUAACUGUUGGAAACGACUGCUAAUACCGGAUGAUGACGAAAGUCCAAAGAUUUAUCGCCAGAGGAUGAGCCCGCGUAGGAUUAGCUAGUUGGUGUGGUAAAGGCGCACCAAGGCGACGAUCCUUGGCUGGUCUGAGAGGAUGAUCAGCCACACUGGGACUGAGACACGGCCAAGACUCCUACGGGAGGCAGCAGUGGGGAAUAUUGGACAAUGGGCGAAAGCUUGAUCCAGCAAUGCUGCGUGAGUGAUGAAGGCCUUAGGGUUGUAAAGCUCUUUUACCCGGGAUGAUAAUGACAGUACCGGGAGAAUAAGCUCCGGCUAACUCCGUGCCAGCCGCCGCCGUAA
rnacentral:rRNA from 1 species